AAAAAUCCUAAUCGAGAGUGCUAAAUCAACUAAUUAAAAAAAAAAAAAAAUACCCUAACCCUAGAACUCUAGACGGCAGAAUUGUAGAAGCGGUAAGCAACAAUCACGCACCUAGCUAGCUCACUCUCACUCUCUCCGUCGUCGGUCUCUAGCUCUCCUCAUCGUUUGAGUCUCGCUACUCUCUCCACUGCCGUCACUCAUGGCACACCCACCUAGCCAGUUGGCGAUAGAGUUAGCUAGCUCACAGCAGUGAUCGUGAUCGUGAUUUAGCCACCUCGUCGCCAUUUGCUGUUGUUGCAGCUUUGUUCAGCUGUUGCUGUUCUAAAGACUUGAGUUGUUGACUUUGUUCAUUUAUAUUUUUAUUUAUUGUUCAUUAAAUUUUUUCUUUAAUUAAAUUUUUUUGAGUUGUGAAUAAUAUUUUGAUUUAGC
rnacentral:lncRNA from 1 species